rnacentral:rRNA from 1 species
GACGGUGCCGGGGAGUUCGCGGCGGACGGGUGAGUAACACGUGGGUAACCUGCCUGUAAGACUGGGAUAACUCCGGGAAACCGGGGCUAAUACCGGAUGCUUGUUUGAACCGCAUGGUUCAAACAUAAAAGGUGGCUUCGGCUACCACUUACAGAUGGACCCGCGGCGCAUUAGCUAGUUGGUGAGGUAAUGGCUCACCAAGGCAACGAUGCGUAGCCGACCUGAGAGGGUGAUCGGCCACACUGGGACUGAGACACGGCCCAGACUCCUACGGGAGGCAGCAGUAGGGAAUCUUCCGCAAUGGACGAAAGUCUGACGGAGCAACGCCGCGUGAGUGAUGAAGGUUUUCGGAUCGUAAAGCUCUGUUGUUAGGGAAGAACAAGUACCGUUCGAAUAGGGCGGUACCUUGACGGUACCUAACCAGAAAGCCACGGCUAACUACGUGCCAGCAGCCGCGGUAAUACGUAGGUGGCAAGCGUUGUCCGGAAUUAUUGGGCGUAAAGGGCUCGCAGGCGGUUCCUUAAGUCUGAUGUGAAAGCCCCCGGCUCAACCGGGGAGGGUCAUUGGAAACUGGGGAACUUGAGUGCAGAAGAGGAGAGUGGAAUUCCACGUGUAGCGGUGAAAUGCGUAGAGAUGUGGAGGAACACCAGUGGCGAAGGCGACUCUCUGGUCUGUAACUGACGCUGAGGAGCGAAAGCGUGGGGAGCGAACAGGAUUAGAUACCCUGGUAGUCCACGCCGUAAACGAUGAGUGCUAAGUGUUAGGGGGUUUCCGCCCCUUAGUGCUGCAGCUAACGCAUUAAGCACUCCGCCUGGGGAGUACGGUCGCAAGACUGAAACUCAAGGAAUUGACGGGGGCCCGCACAAGCGGUGGANCAUGUGGUUUAAUUCGAAGCAACGCGNAGAACCUUACCANGUCUUGACNUCCUNUG